GAGCACAGACCGUCAGCGACAGCAUGCGGCGACAUGAACAAACAGGAGGGCAAAAAGAUUGUUGGCUGAAAUGACUGAAGGCAUUACAAAGUAGAAUUGGUGGCAAAAAAAUAAGUCAUCAUAUGAAUUUUUAAAGCAGAGGCAUAACUAUGAACUGCUAAGUCCAAUGCUUGUUAUUUGUCUAAAAAAAACAUUGAAAGGAACCCGCACGUAUGGCAGAGCACUCCAGGCAUUGGGUCUGAUGAGCAGAGGUAGUAUUUGUCUAGAAACAUCAGCAAAGUUGAUUUCAUACGCAUGAUGCAUGCACAUAAUGGACAGAAUUUGGAUGUGAUACUGUAAGUUUUCACGAAUGCAACAUCUAUGGAGCCAUCUCAGGGUCAUUAGCUGAAGAGUAUAGGCAAGGAAAAUGUAGGCAGAUUAUCAAGGCAGAGUGCAAGGAUAAGAAGAGUGUUUAAUCCUCUAUAAAUGUAAUAUGAAUGAAAUAUAGAAAUAAUAUAAGGUUUUAUAGGACAGUCUUAUAAACCCGACUAAAGGACAUGAGGUGUGUUUGUUCUUGUGCAUAAGAAGAUUAGAUGGACAUGAAGAGCUUAUAGAUUUCUACACAUGCGCUAUGGGUUAAAUAAAUAGA